AGCAGCCCAGUAAUUCCAGCUCCAAUAGCGUAUAUUAAAGUUGUUGUAGUUAAAAAGCUCGUAGUUGAAUUUCGAGGUUCUACUGUCAGUCGGGCUACCAAGUCUGUACUGGUGUGUAGAAUUUCUACCUUCUGGGGAACCAUCAUGUUAUUAAUUUGCAUGGUAGGAAACCAGGACCUUUACCUUGAAAAAUUAGAGUGUUCAAAGCAGGCUUAUGUCUGAAUACAUUAGCAUAGAAUAAUAGAAUAGGAGGGUGGUCCUGUUUUGUUAGUUUCUGAAUCACCGUAAUAAUUAAUAGGGAUAGUUGGGGCAUUAGUAUUCAAUUGUCAGAGGUGAAAUUCUUGGAUUUAUUGAAGACUAACUUCUGUGAAAGCAUUUGCCAAGAAUGUUUU
rnacentral:rRNA from 1 species